GAUGAACGCUGGCGGCGUGCCUAAUACAUGCAAGUCGAGCGAACGGACGAGAAGCUUGCUUCUCUGAUGUUAGCGGCGGACGGGUGAGUAACACGUGGAUAACCUACCUAUAAGACUGGGAUAACUUCGGGAAACCGGAGCUAAUACCGGAUAAUAUUUUGAACCGCAUGGUUCAAAAGUGAAAGACGGUCUUGCUGUCACUUAUAGAUGGAUCCGCGCUGCAUUAGCUAGUUGGUAAGGUAACGGCUUACCAAGGCAACGAUGCAUAGCCGACCUGAGAGGGUGAUAGGCCACACUGGAACUGAGACACGGUCCAGACUCCUACGGGAGGCAGCAGUAGGGAAUCUUCCGCAGUGGGCGAAAGCCUGACGGAGCAACGCCGCGUGAGUGAUGAAGGUCUUCGGAUCGUAAAACUCUGUUAUUAGGGAAGAACAUAUGUGUAAGUAACUGUGCACAUCUUGACGGUACCUAAUCAGAAAGCCACGGCUAACUACGUG
rnacentral:rRNA from 1 species